rnacentral:rRNA from 1 species
CAGGCCUAACACAUGCAAGUCGGACGGGAUUGGGAGCUUGCUCCCAUGAGAGUGGCGCACGGGUGCGUAACACGUAUGUAACCUACCUUUAUCAGGGGGAUAGCCUCUCGAAAGAGAGAUUAACACCGCAUAAUAUAUAGGAGUAGCAUUACUUUUAUAUCAAAUAUUUAUAGGAUAAAGAUGGGCAUGCGGGACAUUAGCUGGUUGGCGGGGUAACGGCCCACCAAGGCGACGAUGUCUAGGGGAUCUGAGAGGAUGGCCCCCCACACUGGUACUGAGACACGGACCAGACUCCUACGGGAGGCAGCAGUAAGGAAUAUUGGUCAAUGGGCGCAAGCCUGAACCAGCCAUGCCGCGUGCAGGAAGACGGCCCUACGGGUUGUAAACUGCUUUUGCGCCGGAAUAAACCCUUUUAUGUAUAAAAGGCUGAAUGUACGGCGAGAAUAAGGAUCGGCUAACUCCGUGCCAGCAGCCGCGGUAAU